rnacentral:rRNA from 1 species
CCUAACGGGAGGCAGCAGUGGGGGAUAUUGCACAAUGGGGGAAACCCUGAUGCAGCGACGCCGCGUGUGGGAAGACGGUCCUCUGGAUUGUAAACCACUGUCCCCAGGGACGAAGAUGACGGUACCUGGGGAGGAAGCUCCGGCUAACUACGUGCCAGCAGCCGCGGUAAUACGUAGGGCGCGAGCGUUGUCCGGAAUUACUGGGUGUAAAGGGAGCGUAGGCGGGACUGCAAGUUGGGUGGCAAAUCUACCGACUCAACCGGUAGCCGCACUCAAAACUGCAGUUCUUGAGUGAAGUAGAGGCAGGCGGAAUUCCUAGUGUAGCGGUGAAAUGCGUAGAUAUCAGGAGGAACACCGGUGGCGAAGGCGGCCUGCUGGACUGCAACUGACGUUGAGGCCCGAAAGCGUGGGGAGCAAACAGGAUUAGAUACCCCAGUAGUC